CAACACUUCUGCCUUCUUAACUGCAGAAAAUCUUCCCAGGGUGUUAUUUGGUCAUAUUAGUAAACUCAGAUGGAUCGUUUUACCUACCUAAUUUCUUCUAUUGGUGGAAUUCUUGAUGGAAAAUGUAAGGUGGUCGCUGAAGAAAAUUGCUCCUUGAAAAAAAGGUCGAUGCAAGAAAAAGUUUGGGAGUCCUUGUUCUAGGUGAUUCACCCACGGAUGGUAAAAAUGUAACGUAGAUUAAACACAAACAAUAAAAGUGUUGAAAAAUG